UUAAAAAAAAAAAGUCUGAUGGCUAACCAACUAACCGACUGAGCCACCCAGUAUCCUUAUUUAUGUAUGUAUUUAUUUAUUUAUGAAAGAUUUUAUUUAUUUGAUACACAGAGAGAGCACAAACAGGGGGAGCGGCAGGCAGAGGGAGAGGGAGAAGCACUGAUGCGGGGCUCGACCCAGGAUGCUGGGAUCAUGACCUGAGCUGAAGGCAGAUGCUUAAAUGACUGAGCCACUCAGGUGCCCCAGUAUCCUUUAUUUUAUUUUAUUUUAUUUAUUUUUAUUUUUUACUUUUUACUUGAAAGUGUGUUUUUGUUUUAUUUUUAAGAUUCUGUUCAUUUAUUUGACAGGGAAAGCACAAGCCAGGGGGAUUGGGAGAGGGAGAAGCAGACUCCCUGCUGAGCAGGCAGCCCAGUGCAGGGCUCCAUCCCAGGGAUCAUAACCUGAGCUGAAUACACUUAACCGACUCAGCCACCUAGAUGCCCCAAGUAUCGGUAUUUUAAGUAAAAUAGUUUCUUAGCCCUCAACAGGUUAUAAACAACAAAUUAAGAGAGUAUCUAUUAGAGAUAAGUACUUAUAUAUAACAAAUGGCAGGUAUCUCUGAAGCAGGAUACUGAAAAUUAUAAAAAGUGGCUAAGGGCAGUGCAGUGUCAAAGGGCAAGGGCAAUAGGGUCAGAUUGCCUUAGUUCAAGUCCUGGCUCUAUUACUUCCUAGCUUUGAAAUCAUGGACAGGUUUCUUAAUGCCAAACCUCAAUUUCUUUUUUUUCUUUUUGAAGGUUUUGCUUAUUUGACAGAGAGAGAGCGCAAGCACAAAUAGGGAGAGGAGGAGAAGGAGAAGGAGGUUUCCCGCGGAGCAGGGAGCCCAAUGCGGGGGCUUGAUCCCAGGACCCUGGGAUCAUGACCUGAGCCAAAGGCAGAUGCCCAACUGAGUGAGCCACCCAGGCGCCCCGAAACCUCAAUUUCUUAAUUAUAAGUAGGGAUAAUAAUAGUAACAACCUUAGUAAGGUUGUUGUGAGGAUUAUACAAGAAAAAUGAGCUUUUCAAAGCCCCAGGCAUUUGGCUAAUAAGUACUAAAUGUUACCUGUAUUUCUGAUAUCUACCUAUCUAUCCAUCUCAUUUAUUUAUUUAUAAAACAGAUGUUAAUUAAGCACUCUGUGUCCAGACCAGAGGUACAAGAAUGAAUAGUCCAGGGUAUUGCUCUUGAGGAGCUCAUAGUCUAGUGGGGGGAGGCUAAUGUAAAUAACUAGGGCAGCUUUAUGUAAGUAUUUUUAUUUUAUUUUAUUUUUUUUAAAGAUUUUAUUUAUUUGACAGAGAGAAAGAGAUAGUGAGAGAGGGAACACAAGCCAGGGAGUAUGUGAGAGGGAGAAGCAGGCUUCCUGCUGAGCAGGGAGCUGGACGUGGGGCUCCAUCCCAGGACCCUGGGAUCAUGACCUGAGUCGAAGGCUGACGCGCUUAAUGGUUGAGCCACUCAGGUGCCCCUUUAUGUAAGUAUUUUAAACAAGUAUUGUAUAUACAAGAUGCUAUAUAUAGGAAUAAGUUCAUAGAGACAGGGUGGCAUUUAACUGGGUUAUAUGUCACAAAUCCAAAGUAUGAAGGGUUUGAUAGUGUGUGACUAUUCAGAAAACUACAAAAACAUGACAUUUAUUUUUCCUAUAUUUAAGUAGUAAAUAUUAAUUUUCCAUAUGUUCUUUGAUAAUGUACUAGUACUUCUGCCACAUAGGGGAGUGGCAAGAAUUGAGGUUGAACAGAUAAUCAGGUGUCAGAAAGUAAGGGACAGUAUUUUCAAAUUUCUUGAAGGCAUCACAUACUGUAAUACAGUAUGGCUUAUAAUUGUGCUUCACGGUGAUUCAUAAUGAUGCUUCUUCCCAACAUGAGGUUACAUUUUAUUUGUUAUGCUCUCUUUUAAGGAGGUAGGUGUGUAUGAAAUUCUAGAAACAUUUUGAAUUAAAACAUGUGAUAAAAUUGUUUUGGUUCUUCAGAUUCUCUUAAAAAUAUGGUUAUGAAGACUACUUCAUUUCUUAGUGAUACUGUCAACUGAUAGUAUUAAUAUUGUUGACCUUGAACAUUUUCAUUCCCCUAACAGACUGCAUUUAUUUUAAUUCAGGUAACUUGAUUUUUUAUUCCUGUGAAAAUUGCACUUUAUUUAGUUGUCAACAUAUUUUUUUCCUUAAAAAAAUUUUUUUUUUAAAGAUUUUAUUUAUUUAUUUGACAGAGAGAGACACAGCAAGAGAGGGAACACAAGCAGAGGGAGUGGGAGAGGGAGAAGCAGGCUUCCUGCUGAGCAGGGAGCCCGAUGUGGGGCUCGAUCCCAGGACCCAGGAAUCAUGACCUGAGCCGAAGGCAGAUGCUUAACCACUGAGCCACCCAGGCGCCCCAUUCCUUAAAAUUUUUAUUGUGGUAAAAUAUACAUAGCGUAGGGCCUCCUGGGUGGCUCUCCUUGUAUACUCCCUUGUAGGUCUCCUGAUCCAUGAACCUGAUGCUUUCCAUUUAUUUAGUAUAACAAUGUUUUGUUGUUGUCAGAGUAAAAGUUUUGCUUUUUUUUUUUUUUUUUUAAGAUUUUAUUUAUUUGACAGAGAGAGAUACAGCGAGAGGAGGAACACAAGCAGGGGGAGAGGGAGAGGGAGAAGCAGGCUUCCUGCCGAGCAGGGAGCCCGAUCGAUCCCAGGACCCUGGGACCAUGACCUGAGCCGAAGGCAGACGCUUAAUGAAUGAGCCACCCAGGCGCCCCUAAAAGUUUUGCAUUUCUUUUGUUAAAUUUACUUCUAGGCAUUUAGUUCUUUUACCCUUAAGUAUUGCCCUUGUAUAUGUAUAUACAAGUCUCUUAUCAGAUAUAUGACUUGCUAAUAUGUUCUCCCAUUCUGUGUGUUGUCUUUUUACUUUCUUUUUUUUUUUUAAGUAGUUUCUACACCCAAUGUGGGGCUUGAACUCAUGACCCCAAAAUCAAGAGACACAUGCUCUACCGACUGACUCAGCCAAGUCCCCCCACCUUUAUACUUUCUUUUUUUUCUUUUUAAGAUUUUAUUUAUUUAUUUGACAGAGACACAGCCAGAGAGGGAACACAAGCAGGGGGAGAGGGAGAGGGAGAAGCAGGCUUCCCGCCGAGCAGGAAGCCUGAUGCAGGGCUUGAUCCCAGGACCCUGUGACCAUGACCCGAACUGAAGGCAGAGGCUUAACGACUGAGCCACCCAGGCGCCCCCCCCCCCCCUUUUUACUUUCUUGAUAAUGUCCUUUGAAACACAAAAGUUUUUAAUUUUGUUGAAGUCCAGUUUUAUCUAUUUGUUUCUUUUAUUGCCUGUGCUCUUUGUGUAUAUAGAAGAAACCAUUGCCUAGAUCGAUGUUAUAAGAAUUUUACACCUACGAUUUCUUCUCAGAGUGUUAUAGUUUUAGGUCUUAGAUUUAGGUGUUUGACCCAUUUUGAGUUGUUUUUAACAUAUGGAGUCCAAAUUAAUUCCUUUGCAUGUGGAUAUCCAGUUGUCCCAGUAGCAUUUGCUGAUGAGACCAUUCUUUUCCCAGUGAAUUAUCUUGAUACCCUUGUUGAAAUUUAAUUGACUGUAAAUCUGAGGGUUUCUUUCUGGACUCUCAGUUGUAUUCUUUUGAUCUAUAUAUCUAUCCUAAGCCAGUACUACCCUGUUGUGAUUACUGUUGUUUUGUAAUAAGUUUUGAAUUUGAGGAAUAUGUCCUCCAACUUUGUUCUUCUUCUUUUUUUUUUUUUUAAUUUUUUAUUGUUAUUGUUCCUCUUUUUUUAAGAUUAUUUUGGUCAUUCUGGGUCCCUAGAAUUUCCAUAUGAUUUUUAGGAUCAGUUUGUCAAUUUCUGCAAAGAAGCUCUCUUGGGUUUCCAUAGGGAUUUUGUUUAAUUUGUAGAUCAGUUUGGAGAGUAUUGCCAUCUUACCAAUAUUAGGUCUCCUGUUCCAUGAACAUGAUGCUUUCCAUUUAUUUAGUUUUUUAGUUUCUUUCAACAAUGUUUUGUUGUUGCCAAUAAAAGUUUUGCAUUUCUUUUGUUAAAUUUACUUUUAGGCAUUUAGUUCUUUUUGAUGCUUUUGUAAAUGGAUUUGUUUCCUUUACUGCAAAAAAAAGUUAUUUAUUUAUUUUUUAAAAAAGAUUUUAUUUAUUUAUUUGACAGAGAGAGAGACAGCGAGAGAGAGAACACAAGCAGGGGGAGUGGGAGAGGGAGAAGCAGGCUUCCUGCUGAGCAGGGAGCCCGAUGCGGGGCUCGAUCCCAGGACCCUGGGAUCAUGACCUGAGCCGAAGGCAGACGCUUAACAACUGAGCCACCCAGGCGCCCCCAAAAAGUUAUUUUUUUAUUUUUAAAUUUUUUAUUUUUUUAAAAGAUUUUAUUUAUGUGAGAGAGAGAGAGACCAUGAACAGGGGGGAGGGGCAGAGGGAGAGGCAGAAGCGUAGUCCACGCUGAGCAGGGAGCCUGACGUGGGACUUGAUCCUAGGACCCCAGGAUCAUCACCUGAGCCCAAGGCAGACAGUUAACCAACUGAGUCAAGCAGGCACCCCGAGUUAUUCUUUAAAAAAAAAAAAGAUUUAUUUUAUUUAUUUAUUUGAGAGAGAGAGAGUGCAUGUGUACACAGGUGUGCAAGCCAGGAGAGGGGCAGAGGAGAGGAAGGAGAGAAGCAGACUCCCCUCGGAGCAUGGAACCUGACAUGGGGCUCAAUCCCAGGGCCCCAAGAUGAUGACCUGAGCCAAAAUCAGGAGUUGGAUGCCUAACCGACUGAGCCACCCAGAGAGAGACACAGCGAGAGAGGGAACACAAGCAGGGAGAGUGGGAGACGGAGAAGCAGGCUUCCCACUGAGCAGGGAGCCAGAUGCAGGGCUCGAUCCCAGGACCCCGGGAUCAUGACCUGAGCUGAAGGCAGACAUUCAACGACUGAGCCACCCAGGUGCCCCUCGAAAGACACUUAAUUUUUUGUAUAUUGAUCUUGUAUCCUGCUGAACUUAUUUAUUCUUUUUUUUUUUUUUUAAAGAUUUUAUUUAUUUAUUCGUGAGAGACCGAGAGAGAGAGAGAGAGGCAGAGGGAGAAGCAGGCUCCCAAGGAGCAGGGAGCCCGAUGCGGGACUCGAUCCCAGGACGCUGGGAUCACUACCUGAGCCGAAGGCAGACGCUUAACCAUCUGAGCCACCCAGGCGCCCUGAACUUAUUUAUUCUAAUAGAUUUUUAAAUAUACAUUAUCAUGUCAUCUGCAAAUAGAGGUAGUUUUACUUCUGUUUCUACAAUCUGGAUGCCUUUUAUUUAAUUUUCCUGCCUAAAUACCCUAAUUAGAACCUCCUGGUACAAUAUGGAAUAGAACUGGCAAGAGUAAAAUUUUUGUCUUGUUUCUGAUCUUAUGGGGAAAGCAUUCAGUCUUUACCCAUGAAAUAUGAGGUAGUUGUGGGGUUUUGUAGAUGCUUUUUGAGGGAGUUCCUUUCUAUUCCUUGUUUGUAGAGUUUUCUCUACAUUUCAUUUUUUCAUUAUGAAGAGAUGCUGAAUUUUUUCAAGUGCUUUUUCUGUAACUAUUUAGAUAAGCCAGUGCUGUUCAGAUAUAUUUUUAGGUCUGUGUGUGUGUGUGUGUGUAACAUCUGGAAAUAACAAGACACAAGUCUAAUUUUAUAACUAAAGUUUGAAUAGUAUAAAAUUAAUUUUUAAAAAAGGCAUAUGUGUACACCUAAAAUUAAAACUAUAUGUGAAAAGCUAAAAUAAUGACCAUAUCCCCUCCUUGGUAGGAUGGUUAGGGAAGGCCACAGGGGACAUAACAUUUCAGUUAUGAUAUGAAGGAUGAGGAAGAGACCAUCAAAGGAGAGUGUCCUAGACAAAGGAAAUGAGGCUCUGAGGUAGGAAACAAUUUAAAAUCAGGAGUCAGCCAAUGUAGAGGAAAGGGAGGGGAUGAGGUAGGAGAAUCAUGGAGGAGCUGCUCACUCACUGGGCCUUAUGGGCUAAGGUAGAGUUUAGAAGUCUACACUUGUGUUGUAGCAGGAAGCCAUUGAUGAUCUUCAGUCAAAGCCAUAAAAUGUGUCUUUAAUUCAUACUAAAGUAUUUGUAGUGAAAUCUUAUGAUGCUGAGGUUUGUUGGGGGAAAAGAGGAAGAAUAUAGACAAAACAGGAUGUGCCAUGUGCUGAUAAUUGUUGAAAUUAGGUGAUGGUAUAUAGGGGUUUAUUAUACUGUUCUCUCCUCCAUUAUGCAUGUUUGAAAAUUCCCAAUACCAUUAAAAAACAAGACACAGAAAACAACUGAAAAGAAAAAUUAUCCACUGUUGUUGGUUUUUUUUUUUUUAAGAUUUUAUUUAUUCAUUUGAGAGAGAGCUAGAGAGAGAAGAGAGCAUGAAUGGAGGGAGGGGCAGACAGAGAAGGGGAGGGAGAAUCAGACUCCCCACUGAGCGGGCAGUCCAACAGUGGGGUUCAGUCCCAGGACUCUGAUAUCAUAACCUGACCUAAGUCAGAUGUUUAAUUUACUGAGCCACCCAGGUGCCCCUCCCUGUUUUUUUCUUUGUAGAUAAUUUUUAGAUUUUCUUCAGUACUAUAGACUUCUUUUCAGGAUAACAUUUUCUGAAUUUUCUUAGUAAUAUAAACAUUUUUAAAAUAGUCAAGUGUUGAAAUAAGUCACAGUGUCAGGUUUUAAGAUGUGUAAAUUAAUUAACUCAGAAAUGUAAAAUAUUGAUCACAUACCUACAGAAGCACAAAACUGUGAGUCAGUAAAGAAUUACUUGGCUGGUCUGGUAAACUUUAGAGUGCUAUACCGUUUCUGGUUUUAUCAGUAUGGUAAUCAAUUCCUGCUUGAUAGUCUCUGUCAUAGGCCAAUGAGUUUCGAUUCUUGUUUCUUGGGGUAAGACAGUAGAAAAUGAAUGUUCUCUGUGUGCUGUGGUAGUCCGUCACAAGGGCUAAAAGGAAUAUGAAAUAUACAGGCGCAAGAAUAGUGUAGCUCAUGUGGAAUAAAUGGUCAUGUUCAAUUACAUUUAUACAGUUAUGGAUGACAGUUUGGGCAAUGAGUAAUUCUUUUUGUGUGUGUGAGUAAAAUUCACAUGUGUUGUACUUGUUUGGCUAUUUUGUCUAAAGGUUUUUUUUGUUUUUAUUUACUUUUCCUGUUAAUAAAUGCAAUACAUGCUCUUUGUGAUAAACAAAACAGAAUCAAAGCAUUAUAGAAAUACUUCUAGAAUCCUGCCUAUUAGAGAAACCUCACUUUUUUUUUUAAAGAUUUAUUUUAGAGAGCAAGAGCCUUACCCCCUCUUCCCCCCCGCCCCGGGGAGGGGGGAAGAGGGGGCAGUAGCAGAGGGAGAGGAAGAAGCAAACUUUUCCCUGAGCAGGAGCCUGACCCAUGAGCUCAAUCCCAGGACCCCGAGAUCAUGACCUGAACUGAAGUCAGAUGCUUAACCAACUGAGCCACCCAGGCGCCCCUCCCUGUAUCUUGCCCACACUUGACACUCUCAGACUUUUUGGCUUUAGUUUCUAAUCUGAUAUUUGUGAAACAACCUUUAAAUUUGUUUUUCUCAGAUCACUACUCUGGUUGAGUAUAUUUUCUUAUAUUUAUUGGUGAUCUGCUUGCCUUUUCUGUGAAUUGCCUGUUCAGUUUCAUUUACUCAUAACUGGCAACAACCUGUGUCUGUCUGGAUAGAUCUAAAUUAUUCUUUACAAUGGCUUUAUAGUAUUCCCUUAUAUGAUCAUCAACGGCUAUAACAGACCAUUGGGGGAAAAGGACUGGAGAACCUAUACUUAAUUAUUUUUAGAAAUUUUAAUUCCAGUACAGUAAAUAUAAAAAUUUGGAAUGCUUCACAAAUUUGUGUGUCAUCCUUGUGCUGAGGCCAUGCUAAUCUUCUCUGUAUGUCCUAAUUUUAGUAUAUGUGCUGCUGAAGCUAACAUGGGAAUCUGUACUUUAAAUUAGACCUAAGAGAUGUAUCAUCCAAAAGCAACAUAGGGACUUUGUUUGCAUCCUGGCUAUGAACAUUUAUGAGACAGCCAGGAAAAUCUGAAUGGUGACUGGAUAUUCCCUAUUAUUUCAUUAAGGAUUGAGAAAUGGUGCUAUUGUAACUUAGUUAUUCCUUCAGCAUUUUUUACCUAAUUUUCUUAUAAAAGAGAACCUCUCCCUCAUCAACUGUUUGAUUACCCUAAGGUAUAGUUUGUGCAAGAAAGAUAGGAUAAGUGCUAUAUUAUUCAGUUCAUACUUUCGUAAUUUCCAGGAGCUCUUCCUUCUUCUUGCUCUUCCCCUACCCCCACCUCUUUCUAAAAAUAGCAUACUGUUCUGAUUUCAUGGAUGUAAUGACUUUUCUUUGGUCUUUGACUAUAUUAAUUAUAGUUUUCAUUUGUUCCUGUUUUGUCUGUUUCCUCAGAGUCCCAUUUUCUUCCUGGUAGUUUUGGUCUCUUUCAGGUUGGAGCUUCACGUGCCUGAUAACCAGUAAUUAUCCCUUCAUGUUUUAAGCAUGAGGCACUAAAAAAAGGAGGGCCAGAAGCUUUGUGUGCCUGGAAGCAGUUUAUUGCCAAUUGGGAACCCAGAUUUCAGUAUCCCAUGGUCUUUUUGCUCAGAGGCAUUUGAGUUUUGCCAAGGAAAGAUAAUGUCAUGGGGAGUGGAGUGGUAGAUAAGCCUAGUCAUUAUGAGAAUCUGGGUGAGGGCCAGAAUGGAAAGGGGGCUAUCAGUGUUGCUUCUUGGUAUAUAGAUUUUCACUUAAUUCUUUUCUUUUCAUUUAGCACCUAUUUGUUAGGGGUAUUCCCUUGUGUAGAAUCUCUCUUAUUGAGGGGUGCCUGGGUGGGUGGCUCAGAUGGUUAAGCAUCUGCCUUCAGCUCAGGUCAUGAUCUCCGGGCCCUGGGAUUGAGCCCCUACUUGGGGUUCCUGCUCUGUGGGGUGUCUUCUCCUUCUCCCUCUGCCCCUCCCCUCUGCACUUGUGCUCACACGCCUGCUCUCUCUCUCAAAUGAAUUAAUUAAAUCUUAAAAAAAAUAGAAUCUCUUACUGAGUCUAUUCAGAAAACAGAUUUCUUGUCUUCUGUGUGGGUAGACAGGAGGGCCACCUGGCUCCUCUGGGAUGGCACUGGGGAUGUAUUAGGGAUGUUACUCACUUUUACUAGUGCAUCCAACUGGGCCACUUGUAUGCCCCACCUUUUUUUUUUUUCCCCCAGUAAGUUCUAUGCCCAGUACGGGGCUUGAACUCAUGACCCCCCCCCCCCUGCCCCCGAGAUCAGGAGCUGCAUGCUCUACCUACUGAGACUGAGCCAGCCAGGCACCCCUAGUUGGUUGUCUUAAACAGGAUCAAAUAAGAUGGUUCACAUAUUUACAUUGGUUAAUGUUUCUUAAAUUUCUCUUAAUCUCUAACAGCUCUCCAUUUUUUCCCCCUUGCUAAUGAGUUUUGAAGAAACUGGACCAUUUGUAUUUUGAAAAUUUUCCACAUUUUGGAUUGGAGGGGGAAAUCAUAUCCUUUGGGUAUUGUUUAAUAUGGUCUAUCCUCUUGGGGUUCCUGGCUGGCUCAGUUGGAAGAGCAUGCGACUUUUGAUCUUGGGUUUGUGAGUUUGAGCCCCACCGUGGGUAUAGAGAUUAGCUAAAUAAAUAAAUUAAAAACUUUAAAAAAUAUAUGGUUUCUCAUUUCUUAAAGAUACUACAUUGAAAAACAAUUACAUUUAAUGGAACUAAUUAUUAUCAAAUGGAAUUUGAUAAUAAUUACCUAAUGUAAUGCAAUAUUUUCCUUCUCCCACUCUGCAGAGUAAAUGUGGGGAUACUUAGCAUUAAUAAGUUGUCAGCCUUUUAUUUGGUGGUAUUAUUUUUUAGACAACUACUGUAGUCAAAGUUACUAAUAAAGGGCUUUUCUUUUUUUGGCUCUUGCAUCUUUACUCCCAAUUAGGAACAGUCUCUAGGGACUUUUUUUUUUUGAAACUUCGGGUGCUUGCCUUUUCAAAGUAUUCAUUUGUUUUCUCCAGAACAGUGGGGCAAAACAGCCCCUAUAAGCCAUCUGGACUUGAAACCAUUUUGCUUCGUCACAAAGCUUAUUCUUUUUAGAUCCUGACAUAAGUCUGUAUUGUUUACUGACUUUUUUUUUUUUUUUAACAGUGUCUAGUUGCUCCCAGGAGAGUACUGUCUGAAGUUAUGUCAAUGUUGUUGGCUGAUUAGUAAUUGAGAGGGGAAAGGGGCAUUUAGUGAAGAGGGGUUUAUCUUUUAUCAUACAUGCUAAAAAAGCCCAUGCAUGGGCUCUUACCCUUUCCACCCAACACUUUUUUAAAAAAGAUGUGCAAGAGAGAAGACAUAAAGACAAAGACACAGAGGGUUGGGGGAGAUGUGUGCCCUACAGCAACAUUCCUGAGAGAUUUGACAAACUGCUAUGCAGAAGGGGAGUAACCAGAAUUUUCCAGGGGUUGAAUGCUCUUGGAAUUUGAAAAACUGCUGCUCUCCUGCCUUGAUUUUUGUUGUUGUUGUCAUUGUUUCAAGUUUUUGUUUAAAGAUUUUACUUAUUGGACGCCUGGGUGGCUCAGUUGGUUAAGCGACUGCCUUCGGCUCAGGUCAUGAUCCUGGAGUCCCUGGAUCGAGUCCCGCAUCGGGCUCCCUGCUCAGCGGGGGGUCUGCUUCUCCCUCUGACCCUCCCCCCUCUCAUGUGCUCUCUCUCAUUCUCUCUCUCUCAAAUAAAUAAAUAAAAUCUUAAAAAAAAAAAAAAGAUUUUACUUAUUUAUUUGACAGAGAGAGUACAAGCAGAGGGACCGAGAGGGAGAGGGAGAAGCAGACCCCCUGCUAAGCAGGGAGUCUCAUGAGGGGCUCAAUCCCAGGACCUGGGAACAUGACCUGAGCCAAAGGCAGAUGCUUAACCAACUGAGCCACCCAGGCGCCCCUUAAGUUUUUGUUUAAAUUCUAAUUAGUUAACGUAUAGUGUAAUAUUGGUUUCGGGAGUACUGCCUUGAUUUUGAUAUUGCCCUAACCCCCCCAGCAUUUGCCAAAUGUAGUGGAGGGUGACCAACUUGAUAAAGUUUGCCACUAAAAAGAAGUUAAGGCACAUUUAAUCAGUUAUGAUUGGCCAUAGGCUUCUUAUGAGCUUUCAUAUACUUUUUCCCCCCCUCCUUCAAAAUGUUUCUGGCUAGGGUAAUGCCUCAAGCCUUAUUUCCUUUGCAUAAAAAUAAUGCAUUAUAUGCAAAUUUUGGUGAUAAAAGGAAUUUUAGUUGGGUUGGGAACUUUUGUUUUUUUAUUAAAGAUUUGACAGAGAGAUAGCAAGAGCAGGAACACAAGCAGGGGGAGUGGGAGAGGGAGAAGCAAACUUCCCGUUGAGCAGGCAUCUGGCGGAUGCAGGGCUCAGAUGCAGGGCUCGAUCCCUGUACUCUGGGAUCAUGACCUAGGCGAAAGGCAGAUGCUUAACUAAGCUACCUAGGCGCCCCUUGCUAUUAUUUUAAUAUGUGCCUCCAAAUCUUUUCUUUAUUCCUCCAGUUUUUUAUGAUCAUGCUACCUGUAAUGUUUUAUAUCAAAAAAGCCCUUAAGGAAUGUAUGAAAAAAUAAUACUUUUCAUACAUUUUCUAAAUACUUUAAACAUUUUUUUUUUUUUAAGAUUUUAUUUAUUUAUUUGACAGAGAGAGACACAGAGGGAACACAAGCAGGGGGAGUGGGAGAGGGAGAGGCAGGCUCCCCACUGAGCAGGGAGCCAGAUGCGGGGCUCGAUCCCAGGACCCUGGGAUCAUGACCUGAGCCGAAGGCAGACGCUUAACCAUCUGAGCCACCCAGGCGCCCCUCUAAAUACUUUAAUCCACAUUGUUAACCUGCAGUUGGGUUGUGCCAGUUACACCCCAAAUAAUGAGAUAAUUUAUUUAGAAAUAAAUAUCCUGUGUGUGCAGGUGCAUACCUCACAGGUAGCUCCCCUUGAUAUUAAAAAUAAAUUCUAUUACCCAUAGCUACCUCCUUUUUUUUUAAGUUUUUAUUUAAAUUCCAGUUAGUUAAUAUACAGUGUUAUAUUAGUUUCAGGUGUACAAUAUAGGGACUGAGCACUUCCAUACAUCACCCGGUACUCAUCACAAGUGUACUCCUUAAUCGCCAUCAUCUAUUUCACCCAUCCCCCUGAUGUGAUUUGAAGUGGGGUUCAGCAAAGAAAGAAUUCUUGAAACAUUUUCGGUGGAGAAAGGUGGUUUUAUUAUAGUACGGGGAUAGGACUCGUGGGCAAACAAUGCUGCACUGGGAUUGUGAAGAGCAGUUGAUCAUAUACUUAGGAAUUGGGGGAGGUGAAGACAAAAGGAAGUUUCCAAAAGGAUUUUCCUAUGUCAAAGAAGACUUACAGGAUCCUGGAGGCCUAGCUAUUAUCAAGCUAAGGUUGUUUUUCCUCUAGCAAGGCAUUGACGUUAAGAUUGGGAGUUCCUGGAGGAAUGUCAUAGUUUGUCUGCCUCAAGUAUUUGUCAAAGGGCUACAGGUUAUAAGAAAACUUAUUUUUCUUUUUAAGAUUUUAUUUAUUUAUGUGAAAGAGAGAGAGAGAGCAUGAGUGGGGUAAGGGGCAGAGGGAGAAAUGGACUCCCCGCCAAGCAAGGACCCUGACGUGGGGCUCGAUCCUGGGGCUCCAGGGUCAUGACCUGAGCCAAAGGCAGAGGCUUAACCAACUGAGCCACCCAGGCGCCCCAGAAAACUUAAUUUCAUCUACAUUUUUUUUGCCUUUGUUCUCUACAUCACCCCCAACCACCUCCCUUCUGGUAACCAUCAGUUCGUUCUCUGUAGUUACAAGUCUGUUUCUUGGUUUGCCUGUCUCUUUUCUUUUUCCCUUUGCUCGUUAUCCUGUUUCUUAAAAUCCACAUAUGAGUGAAGUCAUAUGGUCUUUGUCUUUCUCUGACUUAUUUCACUUAGCAUUAUAUUCUCUAGUUCCAUCCAUCUUGUUGCAAA